rnacentral:rRNA from 1 species
UCCGAAGGGGGCUAGCGUUGUUCUUCUUUCCUGGGCGUAAAGCGCAUGUAGGCGGAUAUUUAAGUCAGAGGUGAAAUCCCAGGGCUCAACCCUGGAACUGCCUUUGAUACUGGAUGUCUUGAGUAUGGAAGAGGUGAGUGGAAUUCCGAGUGUAGAGGUAAAAUUCGUAGAUAUUCGGAGGAACACCAGUGGCGAAGGCGGCUCACUGGUCCAUUACUGACGCUGAGGUGCGAAAGCGUGGGGAGCAAACA